GCCAGUGUGGCGUAGUGGUUUGAGUAUUGGACUAUGACUCUGGAGACCUGGGUUUAAAUCUGGGCUCAGCCA
rnacentral:tRNA from 1 species